rnacentral:lncRNA from 1 species
GGGGAAAAUUAAAAAGCGAGUGAAAGGCAUUGAGCUCAAAUGUUGUGAAAAGAAAAAAAUUCAUGGGAAAAAGAAAAGAAAAGAAGAAAAGCAUGAAUAUGAGCUCAAUGAAAAAGAAAAGAAAAGGGAAGAAGUUGGGAAUAAGUGAGAUUGGUCAGAAAGAGAGUUGUGCUUAAUUGUUAAAUAUUAUGAAAGCUCUUUUAACUCAAGGAUUUUAUUUUCCGGAAAAACCAAUUUUUCUUGUUAG